UAGGGAAUCUUGCGCAAUGGGCGAAAGCCUGACGCAGCCAUGCCGCGUGAAUGAUGAAGGUCUUAGGAUUGUAAAAUUCUUUCACCGGGGAAGAUAAUGACGGUACCCGGAGAAGAAGCCCCGGCUAACUUCGUGCCAGCAGCCGCUGGUAAUACGAAGGGGGCUAGCGUUGCUCGGAAUUACUGGGCGUAAAGGGCGCGUAGGCGGAUGUUUAAGUCGGGGGUGAAAGCCCGGGGCUCAACCUCGGAAUUGCCUUCGAUACUGGACAUCUUGAGUACGGGAGAGGUGAGUGGAACUCCGAAUGUAGAGGUGAAAUUCNUAGUAUUCGGAAGAACACCAGUGGCGAAGGCGACUCACUGGCCCGUUACUGACGCUGAGGCGCGAAAGCGUGGGGAGCAAACAGGAUUAGAUACCCUGGUAGUCCACGCCGUAAACGAUGAGUGCUAGUUGUCGGCAUGCAUGCAUGUCGGUGACGCAGCUAACGCAUUAAGCACUCCGCCUGGGGAGUAC
rnacentral:rRNA from 1 species